GCCGAGAUAGCUCAGUUGGGAGAGCGUCAGACUGAAGGGAAAGUAUAUAUAAGAAAUCUGAAGGUCGCUGGUUCAAUCCCGGCUCUCGGCA
rnacentral:tRNA from 1 species